UGGGGAAUCUUGCGCAAUGCGCGAAAGCGUGACGCAGCAACGCCGCGUGGGGGAAGAAGGCCUUCGGGUUGUAAACCCCUUUCAGGAGGGACGAAGUGUGGGCGGUGAAUAGCCGUUCCACAUGACGGUACCUCCACAAGAAGCUCCGGCUAACUACGUGCCAGCAGCCGCGGUAAUACGUAGGGAGCAAGCGUUGUCCGGAAUCAUUGGGCGUAAAGAGCGCGUAGGCGGUCCGGUAAGUCGGUUGUGAAAACUGGGGGCUCAACCCUCAGAGGCCGACCGAUACUGUCGGGCUAGAGUCCGGAAGAGGCGAGUGGAAUUCCUGGUGUAGCGGUGAAAUGCGCAGAUAUCAGGAGGAACACCAAUGGCGAAGGCAGCUCGCUGGGACGGUACUGACGCUGAGGCGCGAAAGCGUGGGGAGCGAACAGGAUUAGAUACC
rnacentral:rRNA from 1 species